rnacentral:rRNA from 1 species
AAUGAACGUUGGCGGCGUGGAUUAGGCAUGCAAGUCGAGCGAGAACCCCGCAAGGGGGGACAGCGGCAAACGGGGUAGUAAUGUGUCGGAACGUGCCCUCUGGACGGGGAUAGCGGCGGGAAACUGCCGGUAAUACCCGAUGAACUCGAGAGAGCAAAGGUGUGAUUCCGCCGGAGGAGAGGCCGACAUGGUAUUAGCUAGUUGGCGGGGUAACGGCCCACCAAGGCUGUGAUGCCUAGGGGAUGUGAGAGCAAGAUCCCCACCAUUGGGACUGAGACACUGCCCAGACACCUACGGGUGGCUGCAGUCGAGAAUCUUCGUCAAUGGGCGAAAGCCUGAACGAGCGACGCCGCGUGUGGGAUGAAGGCCUUUGGGUUGUAAACCACUGUCGAGGGGGAUGAAGGCUCAGUCGUCAUCGGCUGAGUUUGACAGAGCCCUGGAGGAAGCACGGGCUAAGUUCGUGCCAGCAGCCGCCGUAAAAC